rnacentral:rRNA from 1 species
UACGUAGGGGGCGAGCGUUGUCCGGAAUCAUUGGGCGUAAAGCGCGUGUAGGCGGGCCGGCACGUCGGUCGUUGAAAUCCCCCGGCUCAACCGGGGAAGCGGCGCCGAUACGACCGGCCUCGAGGGACGUAGGGGGGGCUGGAACUUCCGGUGGAGCGGUGAAAUGCGUUGAGAUCGGAAGGAACGCCCGUGGCGAAAGCGAGCCCCUGGACGUCUACUGACGCUGAGACGCGAAAGCCAGGGGAGCGAACGGG